rnacentral:misc_RNA from 1 species
AAGUCGUAACAAGGUUUCCGUAGGUGAACCUGCGGAAGGAUCAUUACUGAAUAAAGCGUGGUCGGGGGUUGUCGCUGGCAUCCUUGUGAUGCAUGUGCACACCUCUGCCACUCUGUCAUUCAUUCACCUUCCACCUGUGCAUUCUCUUGUAGGCCAGAUUGCCAUUUUUCGCCUUUGUGUGUCUUGAGAUUUGCUGCUGCAGUGACACAGCUCCUCUCGUCUGCAUCUGGUCUAUGCUCUUUUUACCCAAACCCCUGUGAACAUACCUAUACGUUGCCUCGGCGGAUCAGCCCGCGCCCUGUAAAAAGGGACGGCCCGCCCGAGGACCCUAAACUCUGUUUUUAGUGGAACUUCUGAGUAAAACAAACAAAUAAAUCAAAACUUUCAACAACGGAUCUCUUGGUUCUG